rnacentral:rRNA from 1 species
GUGUCAGCAGCCGCGGUAACACGGGGGGAGCAAACGUUGUUCGGAAUUACUGGGCGUAAAGGGCGCGUAGGCGGCCUCGUAAGUGGUGUGUGAAAUGUCCUGGCUCAACCAGGGAAUUGCGCUCCAAACUGCGGGGCUUGAGGGCAGUAGAGGAAGCUGGAAUUCCAGGUGUAGCGGUGAAAUGCGUAGAUAUCUGGAGGAACACCAUUGGCGAAGGCGAGCUUCUGGGCUGUCCCUGACGCUGAUGCGCGAAAGCUGGGGGAGCAAACAGGAUUAGAAACCCCAGUAGUCC